rnacentral:rRNA from 1 species
CAGGCUUAACACAUGCAAGUCGAGGGGCAGCAUUUUAGUUUGCUUGCAAACUGAAGAUGGCGACCGGCGCACGGGUGAGUAACACGUAUCCAACCUGCCGAUAACUCCGGAAUAGCCUUUCGAAAGAAAGAUUAAUACCGGAUAGCAUACGAAUAUCGCAUGAUAUUUUUAUUAAAGAAUUUCGGUUAUCGAUGGGGAUGCGUUCCAUUAGUUUGUUGGCGGGGUAACGGCCCACCAAGACUACGAUGGAUAGGGGUUCUGAGAGGAAGGUCCCCCACAUUGGAACUGAGACACGGUCCAAACUCCUACGGGAGGCAGCAGUGAGGAAUAUUGGUCAAUGGGCGAGAGCCUGAACCAGCCAAGUAGCGUGAAGGAUGAAGGCUCUAUGGGUCGUAAACUUCUUUUAUAUGGGAAUAAAGUUUUCCACGUGUGGAAUUUUGUAUGUACCAUAUGAAUAAGGAUCGGCUAACUCCGUGCCAGCAGCCGCGGUAAUACGGAGGAUCCGAGCGUUAUCCGGAUUUAUUGGGUUUAAAGGGAGCGUAGGUGGAUUGUUAAGUCAGUUGUGAAAGUUUGCGGCUCAACCGUAAAAUUGCAGUUGAAACUGGCAGUCUUGAGUACAGUAGAGGUGGGCGGAAUUCGUGGUGUAGCGGUGAAAUGCUUAGAUAUCACGAAGAACUCCGAUUGCGAAGGCAGCUCACUAGACUGUCACUGACACUGAUGCUCGAAAGUGUGGGUAUCAAACAGGAUUAGAUACCCUGGUAGUCCACACAGUAAACGAUGAAUACUCGCUGUUUGCGAUAUACAGUAAGCGGCCAAGCGAAAGCAUUAAGUAUUCCACCUGGGGAGUACGCCGGCAACGGUGAAACUCAAAGGAAUUGACGGGGGCCCGCACAAGCGGAGGAACAUGUGGUUUAAUUCGAUGAUACGCGAGGAACCUUACCCGGGCUUAAAUUGCAACAGAAUAUAUUGGAAACAGUAUAGCCGUAAGGCUGUUGUGAAGGUGCUGCAUGGUUGUCGUCAGCUCGUGCCGUGAGGUGUCGGCUUAAGUGCCAUAACGAGCGCAACCCUUAUCUUUAGUUACUAACAGGUCAUGCUGAGGACUCUAGAGAGACUGCCGUCGUAAGAUGUGAGGAAGGUGGGGAUGACGUCAAAUCAGCACGGCCCUUACGUCCGGGGCUACACACGUGUUACAAUGGGGGGUACAGAAGGCGGCUACCUGGUGACAGGAUGCUAAUCCCAAAAACCUCUCUCAGUUCGGAUCGAAGUCUGCAACCCGACUUCGUGAAGCUGGAUUCGCUAGUAAUCGCGCAUCAGCCAUGGCGCGGUGAAUACGUUCCCGGGCCUUGUACACACCGCCCGUCAAGCCAUGAAAGCCGGGGGUACCUGAAGUACGUAACCGCAAGGAGCGUCCUAGGGUAAAACUGGUAAUUGGGGCUAAG